AUUGAACGCUGGCGGCAGGCCUAACACAUGCCAGUCGAACGGUAACAGGAAGAAGCUUGCUUCUUUGCUGACGAGUGGCGGACGGGUGAGUAAUGUCUGGGAAACUGCCUGAUGGAGGGGGAUAACUACUGGAAACGGUAGCUAAUACCGCAUAACGUCGCAAGACCAAAGAGGGGGACCUUCGGGCCUCUUGCCAUCGGAUGUGCCCAGAUGGGAUUAGCUUGUUGGUGGGGUAACGGCUCACCAAGGCGACGAUCCCUAGCUGGUCUGAGAGGAUGACCAGCCACACUGGAACUGAGACACGGUCCAGACUCCUACGGGAGGCAGCAGUGGGGAAUAUUGCACAAUGGGCGCAAGCCUGAUGCAGCCAUGCCGCGUGUAUGAAGAAGGCCUUCGGGUUGUAAAGUACUUUCAGCGGGGAGGAAGGGAGUAAAGUUAAUACCUUUGCUCAUUGACGUUACCCGCAGAAGAAGCACCGGCUAACUCCGU
rnacentral:rRNA from 1 species